rnacentral:rRNA from 1 species
UGAUCCUGGCUCAGGAUGACGCUAGCGGCAGGCCUAAUACAUGCAAGUCGAACGGUAGACUACUUUCGGGUAGUUGAGAGUGGCGCACGGGUGCGUAACGCGUAUGCAACCUACCUUGUACAGGGGGAUAGCCCGAAGAAAUUCGGAUUAAUACCCCAUAGCAUUACCAGAUGGCAUCUGAAGGUAAUUAAAGAUUUAUCGGUACAAGAUGGGCAUGCGUGACAUUAGUUAGUUGGUAGGGUAACGGCCUACCAAGACUAUGAUGUCUAGGGGUUCUGAGAGGAUGAUCCCCCACACUGGUACUGAGAUACGGACCAGACUCCUACGGGAGGCAGCAGUAGGGAAUAUUGGUCAAUGGGCGAGAGCCUGAACCAGCCAUGCCGCGUGCAGGAAGACGGCCUUCUGGGUUGUAAACUGCUUUUAUACGGGAAGAAAAGACCCUUGCGAGGGAGAUUGCCGGUACCGUAUGAAUAAGCACCGGCUAACUCCGUGCCAGCAGCCGCGGUAAUACGGAGGGUGCAAGCGUUGUCCGGAUUUAUUGGGUUUAAAGGGUGCGUAGGCGGGCCUUUAAGUCAGUGGUGAAAGCCUGCAGCUUAACUGUAGAACUGCCAUUGAUACUGGAGGCCUUGAGUGUACUAGAGGUAGGCGGAAUUUAUGGUGUAGCGGUGAAAUGCAUAGAUACCAUAAAGAACACCGAUAGCGUAGGCAGCUUACUGGAGUACAACUGACGCUGAGGCACGAAAGCAGGGGAGCGAACA